rnacentral:rRNA from 1 species
AUUGAACGCUGGCGGCAGGCCUAACACAUGCAAGUCGAACGAGAGGCGGACGGGUGAGUAAUGUAUGGGGAUCUGCCCGAUAGAGGGGGCUAACUACGGGAAACGGUGGCUAAUACCGCAUACUAUCGGAUGAACCCAUUGGGGAUUAGGUAGUUGGUGGGGAAACGGCUCACCUAGGCGACGAUCUCUAGCUGGUCUGAGAGGAUGACCGGCCACACUGGGACGGAGACACGGCCCAGACUCCUACGGGAGGCAGCAGUGGGGAAUAUUGCGCAAUGGGCGCAAGCCUGAUGCAGCCAUGCCGCGUGAAUGAAGAAGGCCUUCGGGUUGUAAAGUACUUUCAGUAGGGAGGCGUUACCCACAGAAGAAGCACCGGCUAACUCCGUGCCAGCAGCCGCGGUAAUUC